CCCGCAACGAGCGCAACCCCUCGCAUUCAGUUGCCAUCGGGUAAUGCCGGGCACUCUGGAAGGACUGCCAUCGACAAGAUGGAGGAAGGUGGGGAUGACGUCAAGUCAUCAUGGCCCUUAUGUCCAGGGCGACACACGUGCUACAAUGGCCGGCACAACGGGAAGCGAGUUCGCGAGGACGAGCGGAUCCCUCAAAGCCGGUCGCAGUUCGGAUUGAAGUCUGCAACUCGACUUCAUGAAGCUGGAAUCGCUAGUAAUCGUGGAUCAGCCAAGCCGCGGUGAAUACGUUCCCGGGCCUU
rnacentral:rRNA from 1 species